GUAACAUGAUGUCUAAUAAAUGAAAAGUUCUGGACUUACUUGUUAGAAACAAAAAUUAAAAUAUUGUAUCAAAAAAAAAAAAUUGAAAAUGGAGAUCAUGAGUGCUUAUGGAAUUCCUAAAAGUUCUUUGCCCACAAUUUUGAAGGAUGAUAAGAAAAUUUGUGAACUAUAAGUACAUGAUGUGAAAAGUGAUGUAAAAUAUAUAUAGAAUGUUAAUCAUCCUGAUGAUGACAAAGUUAUGACUUUAGGUUACAGCAGACACCAGCAUCUCUGGGCCUAUAUUACAAGAAAAAACACAGAAUUUUGCUUUUGCAUUAGGUAUAACAGAUUGAUUCAAAACUCCCUAUGGAGACCCAGAAUUCGGGUCAGAUGCAAGGUGUCACUCCCCCACCUCAUUGAAAAUUAUGAAAGGAAUUUGAACGGAGUCACUUUAAAAGGAAAACAACAAAAUAUUGUACU
rnacentral:lncRNA from 1 species